ACACCAACGCCACAAAAGGAGAAUGUCUAACGGGCCAAUUUCGUUGUGCCAAUCGGCUCUGUGUCAACUCUACGCUAUUGUGCGAUGGUCGGAACGAUUGUGGGGACUUCUGUGAUGAAAACAAAUGCAACGUCAACGAGUGCGAGCCCAUUAAUCCAUGCCAACACACCUGCGUCGAUAAACCCGUCGGGUACGAAUGCCAAUGCAAUGCGGGUUUCAAACCCAACCCUAAAGACCAACACUUGUGCUCCGACAUAGACGAAAGCGCUCUGCAUCCUCGUCCAUGCUCGUAAAUAUGCCGUAAAACGUUCGGCUCCUACGUUUGUUCCUGUUCAGCCGGAUACAUUUCGGUUCAUAAGGGGAGCAGCUGCAAGACCAAUUCAAGCUUUGCCCCUACCGUCUUGUUCUCCAACCGGUACUACAUUCGCGGGGUCCACCUCCAUAGCGGUAUGGCGUCCGUUCGUCUCACAACUCGACGAAUGCCGUUGCCCUUGAUUACGA